rnacentral:rRNA from 1 species
AACGAACGCUGGCGGCAUGCCUAACACAUGCAAGUCGAACGAGACCUUCGGGUCUAGUGGCGCACGGGUGCGUAACGCGUGGGAACCUGCCCUUAGGUUCGGAAUAACUCCCCGAAAGGGGUGCUAAUACCGGAUAAUGUCUUCGGACCAAAGAUUUAUCGCCUUUGGAUGGGCCCGCGUUGGAUUAGCUAGUUGGUAGGGUAAAGGCCUACCAAGGCGACGAUCCAUAGCUGGUCUGAGAGGAUGAUCAGCCACACUGGGACUGAGACACGGCCCAGACUCCUACGGGAGGCAGCAGUGGGGAAUAUUGGACAAUGGGCGAAAGCCCGAUCCAGCAAUGCCGCGUGAGUGAUGAAGGCCUUAGGGUUGUAAAGCUCUUUUACCCGGGAUGAUAAUGACAGUACCGGGAGAAUAAGCUCCGGCUAACUCCGUG